GGCUGGCCCAAAGGUAGUGAGUUACCUCACUUGAUUGUUCACAGUUACAAAUUGAACUCCUUGUUCUACUACUUUCCCCUUCUCACUACUGCACUUAAGUAGUCUUAA
rnacentral:Y_RNA from 1 species